rnacentral:rRNA from 1 species
GACGAACGCUGGCGGCGUGCUUAACACAUGCAAGUCGAACGAUGAAGCCGGAGCUUGCUCCGGUGGAUUAGUGGCGAACGGGUGAGUAACACGUGAGCAAUCUGCCCUUGACUCUGGGAUAACUGCGGGAAACUGUAGCUAAUACCGGAUACGACACCUUGGGGCAUCCCAGGGUGUGGAAAGAAUUUCGGUCAAGGAUGAGCUCGCGGCCUAUCAGCUAGUUGGUGAGGUAAUGGCUCACCAAGGCGACGACGGGUAGCCGGCCUGAGAGGGUGACCGGCCACACCGGAACUGAGACACGGUCCAGACUCCUACGGGAGGCAGCAGUGGGGAAUAUUGCACAAUGGGCGAAAGCCUGAUGCAGCAACGCCGCGUGAGGGAUGAAGGCCUUCGGGUUGUAAACCUCUUUUAGCAGGGAAGAAGCGAAAGUGACGGUACCUGCAGAAAAAGCACCGGCUAACUACGUGCCAGCCGCCGCCGCAG